rnacentral:tRNA from 3 species
GGCCGGAUAGCUCAGUUGGCAGAGCAACCGCGCGGUAACCAAUCCGCCGGGGUGUCCGUGGUUCGAGUCCACGUCCGGCCACCA